CAGGCAUUGUACAAAAUGCCAACUCCACCUGAGCUCCCCAGAGCCCGAGGUGCCUAGGAAGUUUACUUUGGAGGCUGCUGAUAUUGCUGUGGUUGUGGUCUAUUUUGUGUUUGUGUUGGCAGUCGAAUACGGUCCUCAGUCAGAGCCAACCGUGGGACAAUGGGUGGAUACUUCUUGGCUGGCCAAUCCCUGACCUGGUGGCCAGGUGUUCCUUUUAUAUAGUGGCCCUGAGUUUUGUUUGGAUUCCAGUGAUUCCAACAGCUAAUAGUGGACAGCUCUUUGACUACAUUCACUCAAUCACUAGCUUCCUGGCACCUCCCAUCACCACAGUGUGCAUUAUUGCAAUCUUCUUGGGAGUGCUUUUUGGAGUUUGAUGGUGGGACUAGGUGGGCACUGUGAGGAUGGUAAUGGAAUUUGUGUACAGCACCCCAUCAUGCGGAGAAAAAGACAUGUGUCCUGCCCUGCUGAAAGAUGUGCACUACCUGUAUUUUGCUCUCAUCCUGCUUGCACUGACAGCUCUGAUCCUCACAGCUGUCACCCUCUGCACUGCACCUAUUCCAGAGCAACAUUUAAAUAUGGACCGCAAUCCACAUACAUACAUAUUUAAAUAAUUCUUUAUCAAUUUGUAUACAAAACUUACAAAAAGAAGA